rnacentral:rRNA from 1 species
AUUGAACGCUGGCGGCAGGCUUAACACAUGCAAGUCGGACGGUAGCACAGAGGAGCUUGCUCCUUGGGUGACGAGUGGCGGACGGGUGAGUAAUGUCUGGGGAUCUGCCCGAUAGAGGGGGAUAACCACUGGAAACGGUGGCUAAUACCGCAUAACGUCGCAAGACCAAAGAGGGGGACCUUCGGGCCUCUCACUAUCGGAUGAACCCAGAUGGGAUUAGCUAGUAGGCGGGGUAAUGGCCCACCUAGGCGACGAUCCCUAGCUGGUCUGAGAGGAUGACCAGCCACACUGGAACUGAGACAUGGUCCAGACUCCUACGGGAGGCAGCAGUGGGGAAUAUUGCACAAUGGGCGCAAGCCUGAUGCAGCCAUGCCGCGUGUAUGAAGAAGGCCUUCGGGUUGUAAAGUACUUUCAGCGGGGAGGAAGGCGGUGAGGUUAAUAACCUUGCCGAUUGACGUUACCCGCAGAAGAAGCACCGGCUAACUCCGUGCCAGCAGCCGCGGUAA